rnacentral:rRNA from 1 species
CGUUCCCGGACCUUGCACACACCGCCCGUCAAGCCAUGGAAGCCGGGUGUACCUGAAGUCGGCAACCGCAAGGAGCUGCCUAGGGUAAAAUCGGUGACUGGGGCUAAGUCGUAACAAGGUACCC